rnacentral:rRNA from 2 species
CGGAGGAUAAGAAACUAAAAAGGAUUCCCUCAGUAGCGGCGAGCGAAGCGGGAAAAGCUCAACAUGAAAACCGGUAGGGGUACACCCCCCCCUGACCGGGUUGUAGGGUAAAGUGGUGUCGUCAGUGUCGAGUCGGAUAUAAAUCCCGUUUGGAAUGGGGUGUCAUAGAGGGUGAUAACCCGUCUUGAUCCGACAUGCCGAUGCGUUACGAUGACCUUACAAAGAGUCGGGUUGCUUGGGCAUGCAGCCCAAAGUGGGUGGUAAACUCCAUCUAAAGCUAAAUAUCAGCGAGAGACCGAUAGUGUACAAGUACCGUAAGGGAAAGAUGCAAAGAACUUUGAAAAGAGAGUCAAACAGGGCUUGAAACCGUUAAGAGAGAAGCGAAGGAGGCCAGUGAUCAUGGGGCCAGAUCCCCAAGUGCCCGUACAGGGGCGCCGUAACGUUCUGGUUUUUCCCGGGGCAGCGCCGACCGGCGGGCUCGUGACAAAGGGGAGGGGGUUGAGGGAUUUGUUUCCCGCCUCUUGCUCCUCUAUGGCUUUGCCUCUGGUCGAGGGCGUUUACACCUUCCACUUUAUUGUGUGAGGGCGCUGUCAAAAUGGCCUUUUCCAUCCCGUCUUGAAACACGGACCAAGGAGUCUAACAUACUCGCAAGUGUUUGGGUGUUUAAAACCUCUGCGCACAAUGAAAGUAAAUCGGUAGCUCUGCGUUACUGUACGGUGGGAACCCUAACGUAUGUAUACAUGGGGGCACCAUCACCCGGUCCCGAUCCCCUCGGGGUGGUUGGUUUCGUGGCAGAGCGAGUAUGCUGGGACCCGAAAGAUGGUGAACUAUUCCUGAAUAGGGCAAAGCCAGAGGAAACUCUGGUGGAGGCUCGUAGCGAUGCUGACGUGCAAAUCGCUCGUCGAAUUUGGGUAUAGGGGCGAAAGACUAAUCGAACCAUCUAGUAGCUGGUUCCCUCCGAAGUUUCCCUCAGGAUAGCGAGAGCAAAUGCAAGUCAGUAUCAUCCGGUAAAGCGAAUGAUUAGAGGCCUCGGGGGAGUAACUCCUUCGACCUAUUCUCAAACUUUAAAUAGGUGAGGCGCCGGUCAAGUUGCUUCGAACAAUGAACGCCGUGCGGACAAUGAUUGCUCUUAGUGGGCCGAUUUUGGUAAGCAGAACGACGAUACGA